CCUCCGUGUUUCCGCCGUUUUUGCUAUUUCACAAUUGUUUAAACCCUUAUGCAGCGACGCCGCGUGUGGGAAGACGGUCCUCUGGAUUGUAAACCACUGUCCCCAGGGACGAAAAUGACGGUACCUGGGGAGGAAGCUCCGGCUAACUACGUGCCAGCAGCCGCGGUAAUACGUAGGGAGCGAGCGUUGUCCGGAAUUACUGGGUGAAAAGGGAGCGUAGGCGGGGAUGCAAGUUGGGUGUCAAAACUACCGGCUCAACUGGUAGUCGCACUCAAAACUGCAGCUCUUGAGUGAAGUAGAGGCAGGCGGAAUUCCUAGUGUAGCGGUGAAAUGCGUAGAUAUUAGGAGGAACACCAGUGGCGAAGGCGGCCUGCUGGGCUUUUACUGACGCUGAGGCUCGAAAGUGUGGGGAGCAAACAGGAUUAGAUACCCGAGUAGUC
rnacentral:rRNA from 1 species